GGGCCCGCACAAGCGGUGGAGUAUGUGGUUUAAUUCGAUGCAACGCGAAGAACCUUACCAAGGCUUGACAUCCCUGGAAUCUUUUGGAAACAGAAGAGUGCCUUCGGGAACCAGGAGACAGGUGGUGCAUGGCUGUCGUCAGCUCGUGUCGUGAGAUGUUGGGUUAAGUCCCGCAACGAGCGCAACCCACGUUUUUAGUUGCCAUCAUUCAGUUGGGCACUCUAGAGAGACUGCCGGUGACAAACCGGAGGAAGGUGUGGAUGACGUCAAGUCAGCAUGCCCCUUACGUCUUGGGCUACACACGUACUACAAUGCUACGGACAAAGGGCAGCCAAUCAGCAAUGACGCGCAAAUCCCAUAAACCGUAGCUCAGUUCAGAUCGUAGGCUGCAACUCGCCUACGUGAAGGCGGAAUCGCUAGUAAUCGCAGGUCAGCAUACUGCGGUGAAUACGUUCCCGGGCCUUGUACACACCGCCCGUCACACCAUGGGAGUUGGUCACGCCCGAAGUGGUUACCCUAACCGUAAGGAGGGGGACCCCUAAGGCAGGGCUGAUGACUGGGGUGAAGUCGUAACAAGGUAACC
rnacentral:rRNA from 1 species